AAAAGUAUAUUUCUAACACUGUGUAGGUGUCAAUAAAUGGCAUCCAUUACUACAUUCCUAUUGCUGCUAUUAUUAUUGCUUUAAUUAUUAUUGUCAUCCUUGGAACCCAGUUACCAAUCUUUCCGGCUCCCUUUGGUGACCUGUUCACCCUGCCUCCAGUGAUGUGUAAUGCCACAUAUCUACCAAGCCACCUCCAACCAUUUCUGGGUAAUGCCUGUCUGCCUGGGCAAUCUUGCAGUCUCGUUUUUCAUUUUCAGAAUUCUGUUGGGUGUUCUUGGCCCUUUACACUUCCACAGGAAUUUGAUUAUCCUUUCGCCUGG
rnacentral:lncRNA from 1 species